rnacentral:tRNA from 1 species
GCGCCCGUAGCUCAGUUGGAUAGAGCGUCUGCCUUCUAAGCGGACGAAAAUUCAAUCUAAGUCGUUGCUUCGGUUGCG